UGCAGAAAACAAAUUAUCGGAUAAUUGUAAUAGGGGUGAUAAGCGCCAUGACCCAACAAGCUCAGGGAACCCAGGGUAUGUUUCCCUCGAGUUGGGGUGGGGGAAGGAGGAGGAAGUUCUGGUUUUUCCAGGAAGGAGAAGCUAGUGCAAAAACUGGUACUAUAAAGACUAUGAUACAUCUUUGAAUCUGCACGUAUUUUUGUGCAGCUGAAAUACUGAGUGCAAGUGGCCAAAAGUGAAACUGGAGGAAAAAAGCAGAUCAGGAGAUAAUUAUGGCCAUAACAUAGGAUUUUCAUACUUCCCUAAAGGCCAAGGGAAACUACUGAAGGAGUUUCAGCAGAGGUGUGACCUGAUCCCCCCUGGUCUGAAGAAAAAUCUGUAUGAUGGCUGCUUGGAGAACGGAUGAAAAUGGGGAGAGUCUGGAAGCAGGAAGAAGACGUCUUGGAAUAGUAUAGCAACAGCCUGCAACAUGUGAAGAAGGCUCGGACGGAAGCAGGGGCGGCAGAGGCCAAAGGAAAAGGGACCGGCAAAGGAAUGACAAGGAGGGAGAAUAACCAUGCCCUGCAGAAUGCCCUCUCCCCUGGGAAUGCCCUCCAGAGGCAGAGGCUGACAACACCCUACUCAACUCUCGCAGCUUUGUUCAGGGUGGAAUCUUCUUCGUGUCCCAGGCAGAGACAGUUCCUUCCUCCCCGCUCCUGGAGCACUUUGUGCCAACCUCUUCCAUAGCACUUAACACUCCUUCGUAAUUGCUCUAUGUCUGCUUCCCCCCAAAGACUGAGUGUUUUGAAGACAGAAGCCAUGUCCUGUUCACCUCCUCUUCUCCCAAAUGGUGUCUGGCCUACAACAGGUAAUUCACCUGAGUUUGUUGGAUAAACAGCCCAACCUGUGACCUUGUAGGGCUGUCACACCUCUCUGUGAGGAAGUGACUAACACCCAGACACCUUUAUAACUGACAAAGCUUCUCCCAGGCAGGCAGUGGCUGAUCAGGGACAGCCAGGGAGCACCAGCAUACUGAAGAGCCUCCCCCAUGAAGCCAUGCUGUGGACCUGUGCCCUCUUCUACUUCACCCUCUCCUGUGCAGGGGUCUCAUUGGAUAUCGUUUUGAAACCAGACACCGAAACCGUGACUGUUCUAGUUGGGGAGCCUGCCACCUUCCGAUGCAGCAUAACGGGAGGGGACUGGAAAAAUUAUCAAGUGAGCUGGUAUAAGAAGAAUGAAGAUAACUCCCUGACUUUAGUAUACAGACUAAGCAACAGUUCUAAUGCCAAUAUAAGCAGUAAUUUCAAAGGAAAUAUCGAUGUUUUAAAGGGCCAAUGUAUACUUGACAUUCAAAGAGCAACAAUAAAAGACACUGGGACCUACUACUGUGCGUCCGAUAUCCACGGUGCUACAGCCCUGCAAGCUGGUCUCCUCAGAACCCUUGAGUCAAACCAAGGGGGGCAGAUCCAAUGAGAAGACCACCUGUAGCUAAAAUGUGCACCACACUGAGGUGAGACCACCUGAUAAUCUCAACAGUAACAUCUGAUAAGAGAGACAAGAGCUAAGUUGGGGCAAGGGCCUUAUCUUUGUGGUUGGUUGAGAGGGGGCUUAGAUAUCAGUCAAAGAGGGCAGAAAAUCUCAUUAGGGUUUAUGCAAAGCAACCAAGGGGGCCCUGCACCUGACUCUCAGGGACUUCUGAGAAGAGGUUGAAAAAAAAACAAUCUUCAAUGCUGAGAAGGUUUUCUUAUUGUGGGGGCAGGCUGAGAUGAACAGAAUUUCUACUAUCAUGAGUGUUGUAGCUCAUUCCAGAGUCUUUAUUGUGAAAGCAUUCGUGUGCAUAAACUAGAUAAAGCAAGGAUGGUUUUCCAUUACCAUCCUAAUCAAAAUUUCCAAAGCUAUUAGAGAUAGCUUUAACUCUUACUCUGUGAAGAAGGAUGAAUAGAGUCAUUUUCUGAAAUGCUCCCUAACU